AACGAACGCUGGCGGCAUGCCUAACACAUGCAAGUCGAACGAGACCUUCGGGUCUAGUGGCGCACGGGUGCGUAACGCGUGGGAACCUGCCCUUAGGUUCGGAAUAACUCCCCGAAAGGGGUGCUAAUACCGGAUAAUGUCUUCGGACCAAAGAUUUAUCGCCUUUGGAUGGGCCCGCGUUGGAUUAGCUAGUUGGUAGGGUAAAAGCCUACCAAGGCGACGAUCCAUAGCUGGUCUGAGAGGAUGCUCAGCCACACUGGGACUGAGACACGGCCCAGACUCCUACGGGAGGGAGCAGUGGGGAAUAUUGGACAAUGGGCGAAAGCCUGAUCCAGCAAUGCCGCGUGAGUGAUGAAGGCCUUAGGGUUGUAAAGCUCUUUUACCCGGGAUGAUAAUGACAGUACCGGGAGAAUAAGCACCGGCUAACUCCGUG
rnacentral:rRNA from 1 species